rfam:Acetobacterium wieringae strain DSM 1911 ACWI_contig000014, whole genome shotgun sequence.
GGCCCCUUGGUCAAGCGGUUAAGACACCGCCCUUUCACGGCGGUAACAGGAGUUCGAGUCUCCUAGGGGUCA